AUUGAACGCUGGCGGCAGGCCUAACACAUGCAAGUCGAGCGGAUGAAGGGAGCUUGCUCCUGGAUUCAGCGGCGGACGGGUGAGUAAUGCCUAGGAAUCUGCCUGGGAGUGGGGGAUAACGUCCGGAAACGGGCGCUAAUACCGCAUACGUCCUGAGGGAGAAAGUGGGGGAUCUUCGGACCUCACGCUAUCAGAUGAGCCUAGGUCGGAUUAGCUAGUUGGUGGGGUAAAGGCCUACCAAGGCGACGAUCCGUAACUGGUCUGAGAGGAUGAUCAGUCACACUGGAACUGAGACACGGUCCAGACUCCUACGGGAGGCAGCAGUGGGGAAUAUUGGGCAAUGGGCGAAAGCCUGAUCCAGCCAUGCCGCGUGUGUGAAGAAGGUCUUCGGAUUGUAAAGCACUUUAAGUUGGGAGGAAGGGCAGUAAGUUAAUACCUUGCUGUUUUGACGUUACCGACAGAAUAAGCACCGGCUAACUUCGUG
rnacentral:rRNA from 1 species